AGUACAUUUGCCUAUUGUAUUAGAGAACCAUACAUAGGGAUACGUAUACAUAUAUAUUGUUUUUCCAAAUAGACAUAUCAUGUAUAAUUUCAUCUGCUGCACAUUUUCCUUACCUUCAUCUCAAAUGUCUUUCUAACUUGUAUUCUAACUAUGCAGGGGAAGUCAGUUGAUAGUUUGUUGAAGUCAUUGAGUCUCGAGAAGUACUCUGAUACUUUCCAUCCUGAGGAAGUAUGAAACUUCGUAGCUUGAAUCUGCACUAUUUGUCUAUUUGUCGUUUACUGAGGUCUUUUAUGUUGUCGAUGCAUAUUCAAAUUUUGCUUGUGCAGAUUGACAUAGCUGCUUUGAAGCUGAUGACAGAGGAAGAUCUGAAGUUUCUGGGUGUUCCAAUGGUAACACACGAUAGCGCAUUGGAUUUCUCAAUAGUGCUUAAUAGCUUCCUCCUCUUCUUUCAAUGGUGGACAUGGUAUGCUUUCUAAUUCUCAGACAAUUUUUUGUGGUUUCAGGGUCCCAGGAAGAAAAUACUCGAGGCCUUAAAUCCCAAAGCUUAACUGCUGCUGUCCAUUCUUGGGUUACUAAGCUGGACUACUACUAUAUGAAAGCACUGCUAAUCUAUUCAUUUAAUUAGAAAGAGUUAAUGUAAUCAAAGGUUGCUUUAGGACUAUUUUGUUAUAUACACUGACAUGGUUAGUUUAUGAAGGGUUUGACAUUGAAAUGAUAUCAUUAGAAAGUGAAUCAUAAUCUUUUGGUAUACAUGGUUUAUUGAAAGGUAAGUGUUCAUUUGCUUUUCACAAGUCUGUCAUGUUAUUCUAAACUUCAUAGUGUGGUAAGUGCUAAGAAAGAGCACUGAAUGAAAGAUUUACUUCAACUUGCUCUGAUCUCUAAAAAUACAUGCACUAGAUGUUUUUGAAUGUU
rnacentral:lncRNA from 1 species